rnacentral:rRNA from 1 species
UACGAAGGGGGGCUAGCGUUGCUCGGAAUCACUGGGCGUAAAAGCGCACGUAGGCGGCUUUCUAAGUCAGGGGUGAAAUCCUGGAGCUCAACUCCAGAACUGCCUUUGAUACUGGAGAGCUCGAGUCCGGAAGAGGUGAGUGGAACUGCGAGUGUAGAGGUGAAAUUCGUAGAUAUUCGCAAGAACACCAGUGGCGAAGGCGGCUCACUGGUCCGGUACGUGGACGCUGAGGUGCGAAAGCGUGGGGAGCAAACAGGGAGUUAAGCAAACC